GAUGAACGCUAGCGGCAGGCCUAAUACAUGCAAGUCGAGGGGCAGCGGGAAUAGCAAUAUUUGCCGGCGACCGGCGCACGGGUGCGUAACACGUAUACAAUCUGCCCAUAUCAGGGGGAUAGCCCGGAGAAAUCCGGAUUAAUACCCCAUAAUAGUCGAGGAGGCAUCUUCUUGAUUUGAAAGCUUAAGGAAUAUUGGACAAUGCCCGCAAGGGUGAUCCAGCCAUGCCGCGUGCAGGAAGAAGGCCCUAUGGGUCGUAAACUGCUUUUACACCGGAGAAAACCCCCUUACGUGUAAGGGGCUGAUAGUAUGGUGAGAAUAAGCAUCGGCUAACUUCGUGCCAGCAGCCGCGGUAAU
rnacentral:rRNA from 1 species